rnacentral:rRNA from 1 species
GAUGAACGCUGGCGGCGUGCCUAAUACAUGCAAGUCGAGCGAACAGAUGAGAAGCUUGCUUCUCUGAUGUUAGCGGCGGACGGGUGAGUAACACGUGGGUAACCUACCUAUAAGACUGGGAUAACUCCGGGAAACCGGGGCUAAUACCGGAUAAUAUUUUGAACCGUAUGGUUCAAUAGUGAAAGACGGUUUCGGCUGUCACUUAUAGAUGGACCCGCGCCGUAUUAGCUAGUUGGUAAGGUAACGGCUUACCAAGGCGACGAUACGUAGCCGACCUGAGAGGGUGAUCGGCCACACUGGAACUGAGACACGGUCCAGACUCCUACGGGAGGCAGCAGUAGGGAAUCUUCCGCAAUGGGCGAAAGCCUGACGGAGCAACGCCGCGUGAGUGAUGAAGGUCUUCGGAUCGUAAAACUCUGUUGUUAGGGAAGAACAAAUUUGAUAGUAACUGAACAAAUCUUGACGGUACCUAACCAGAAAGCCACGGCUAACUACGUGCCAGCAGCCGCGGUAAUACGUAGGUGGCAAGCGUUAUCCGGAAUUAUUGGGCGUAAAGCGCGCGUAGGCGGUUUCUUAAGUCUGAUGUGAAAGCCCACGGCUCAACCGUGGAGGGUCAUUGGAAACUGGGAAACUUGAGUGCAGAAGAGGAGAGUGGAAUUCCAUGUGUAGCGGUGAAAUGCGCAGAGAUAUGGAGGAACACCAGUGGCGAAGGCGGCUCUCUGGUCUGUAACUGACGCUGAUGUGCGAAAGCGUGGGGAUCAAACAGGAUUAGAUACCCUGGUAGUCCACGCCGUAAACGAUGAGUGCUAAGUGUUAGGGGGUUUCCGCCCCUUAGUGCUGCAGCUAACGCAUUAAGCACUCCGCCUGGGGAGUACGACCGCAAGGUUGAAACUCAAAGGAAUUGACGGGGACCCGCACAAGCGGUGGAGCAUGUGGUUUAAUUCGAAGCAACGCGAAGAACCUUACCAAAUCUUGACAUCCUUUGACCGCUCUAGAGAUAGAGUCUUCCCCUUCGGGGGACAAAGUGACAGGUGGUGCAUGGUUGUCGUCAGCUCGUGUCGUGAGAUGUUGGGUUAAGUCCCGCAACGAGCGCAACCCUUAAGCUUAGUUGCCAUCAUUAAGUUGGGCACUCUAGGUUGACUGCCGGUGACAAACCGGAGGAAGGUGGGGAUGACGUCAAAUCAUCAUGCCCCUUAUGAUUUGGGCUACACACGUGCUACAAUGGAUAAUACAAAGGGCAGCGAAUCCGCGAGGCCAAGCAAAUCCCAUAAAAUUAUUCUCAGUUCGGAUUGUAGUCUGCAACUCGACUACAUGAAGCUGGAAUCGCUAGUAAUCGUAGAUCAGCAUGCUACGGUGAGUACGUUCCCGGGUCU